UACGUAGGGCGCAAGCGUUGUCCGGAAUUAUUGGGCGUAAAGAGCUCGUAGGCGGUUUGUCGCGUCUGCUGUGAAAACCUGAGGCUCAACCUCGGGCUUGCAGUGGGUACGGGCAGGCUGGAGUUCGGUAGGGGAGACUGGAAUUCCUGGUGUAGCGGUGAAAUGCGCAGAUAUCAGGAGGAACACCGGUGGCGAAGGCGGGUCUCUGGGCCGAUACUGACGCUGAGGAGCGAAAGCGUGGGGAGCGAACAGG
rnacentral:rRNA from 1 species